GGGGACCGGGACUCCGGGGGAGAGGGGAGAGAAUUGGAUGGAGAAAUGGGCGUCCAGGGAGAAACGAGGGAGUGGAGGGAAAGGUGGGCUGGGAAAAGAGAGGCGAAAUGACGGAGACAGGAUGCCAGGGGAAGGACCUAGAACAGGGUCUGGUACAUUGUUGGUGUUCAGUAAUGAACUAUGUCAUAAACAAAACCAAAAUUUAAAAAAAGGACUCUAUGAGGACUAAGAUAUAUAUCUGGAGUAUCAUACCACUUGGAGUCUGGGAAUAGGCAAGGAUAAGAUCAUCUGAAGACAAAUGGAACAACUGCUUACAUUUGUAAUGUUGUUUGUAUUUCCUUGACAGAGAUUUCCAAGCAGGAUCCUUUUUGUUUCAAAGAUUGACAAAGUGUUGUGUAGUAGUCACUGUAACCAAAUUCAGUUAUUGCUCUUUGUCUGUAGCAGAGGUAGAUUAGAUACUAUCAAUUCUAGCUGCUUUUAGUGAUUAAAAGGUAAACAUUGUUGUUCAUUUCCUUUUUGGUACUCUAUAGGCGUGGUCAGGUUCUUAGAACCAAGUGGUUGAUUUUCUUUUUCCAUAACCCCCACCCUUACCCACAAUUUUUUUGUUGUUGUUAAAAUGUAGAAAGGCUUGUUCUGGAAGAGUAUUGAUUUUUUUUUAG